AUUCUUGAUGUCUCUGCAAGACUGUUUUGGGGGUGAAAUUAACAGGCAAGUUGGUGAGCUUUGGUGAAGCAAACAACCUUACAUGAUGUGAGUGGUCCUUGUGCCCAGUUGAAGCCUUCUGUGGCCCUGCAGACUCCUGACUGAACUAACACAGUUGGGGAGAAUAAGCCGUAAAAAGGGGAGCUUUUCUGUCCUUUCACUUUGCACUGAUGCCCCAUCCAUCCUCCCUUUCUGCUUGCCAUGGUAAAUGGUGUCCGACGUAACACAGAUGCACUGUGCACUGGAGAGGCAGAGCAUCCUGCCUUCCACAGCCGUGCACACCAGUCCCUGUGCACAAGUGGCCACCCACCCAGCGAAUCGACGUGGUGUGCUUAUCAAAAUCUGUGUGUCUGUGGGCCAGAGCCAAAUCCAGCAGAGCCCCAUCCUGAAUGCCCAGCGGUGCCCACAGCCAGGAGGAGCAUUCGAUGUGUGAUGACUCAUCUCGUGCAUCAGACGCUCUCUAAAGUUCCCACAGAUUAUACCAUGGCUUAGUGAGUGCGAUUCUAAGACAGUUCCAAAAGACUUUUCAAUCCGUGGGAGUUUCAAAGUGGAUUCUCAGACAAACAUGGGGAGGACUGAGGCAGGCUUGGACACGCACAGAAUCAGACAACGAUGGGCUGAGGAAGUGGCUCAGCGGUUAAGAGCACUGUCUGCUCUUCCAAAGGUCCGGAGUUCAAAUCCCUGCAACCACAUGGUGGCUCACAACCAACUGUAAUGAGAUCUGGCGCCCUCUUCUGGAGUGUCUGAAGACAGAUACAGUGUACUUACAUAUAGUAAAUAAAUAAA
rnacentral:lncRNA from 1 species